CGGCUCCUGGGCUCUGGGGUGCUCGGGUUUCAGCAGUCGUGGCUCCCAGGCUCCAGAGCACAAGCUCAGUAGUUGUGCCUUAAUUGCUCCAUGGAAUGUGGAAUCCCCCAAGACCAGGGAUCAAACCCAUGUCCCCUGCAUCGGCAAGCGGAUUCUUUACCACUGAGCCACCAGGGAAGCCCUUCUCUUGGAUUCUUCAUGGAGGAGGGAAGACAUGAUAAUUUUUUCAGCCUGGAGACCCUUGCAGAUCUUCCUGUAACCGUAGAGAAGGGCUCUGGGGUGGGCUGGAGGCUGACUCCCGUCUUCCCGCAGCAGCCGCAGCAUCAGGGCUUGAGGACAGAGGCCGGCAGAAGAGCUCCAGCCCGGCUGCUGACGCCCCGGAGGAAAGCUUGUACUGUGCCGUCACGGAAGACGCACGGCCGGAGCAGGGCAGAGCAAGGGCCAGCCAGGUGAGCCCCCCCGCCUCCUCACUCACGCACGGAGGGCAGAGGACAGACCCCGAGGCCAGGCAGCCCC
rnacentral:lncRNA from 1 species